UACGUAGGGUGCGAGCGUUAAUCGGAAUUACUGGGCGUAAAGCGUGCGCAGGCGGUUUUGUAAGCCAGAUGUGAAAUCCCCGGGCUCAACCUGGGAAUGGCAUUUGGGACUGCAAGGCUGGAGUGCGGCAGAGGAGACUGGAAUUCCUGGUGUAGCAGUGAAAUGCGUAGAUAUCAGGAGGAAUACCGAUGGCGAAGGCAGGUCUCC
rnacentral:rRNA from 1 species